rnacentral:sRNA from 1 species
AGGAAUUCGAGGCUGCAGUGAGCUAUGACUAUGCCACUGCACUCCAGCCUAGGUGAAAGAGCGAGACCAUGUCUCAAAAAAAAAAAGAGGAAUGACUAGAUGCUGUGAUCACAAAGGCGGCCCCUGGAGCUUCUCCUCCGGGCAGAAGAGGAGGUGGGCUGGACUGUCAAAGAAAGUGGCUGGCUUCCUUGGGCAGUCCGAGUUUCCUAGUGGCCCUCUGCAGAAAGCUCAACUUCCAGUUCCCCCAGGCCUCCGUCCCGCGGCGGACUCCUAGGCUUCCUCCCUUCCUGUCGCCGCCAGCCCCUCGCUCUCCCCGUCUUCCGCCCGCACUCUCCGGGCAGGGCUGCGGCCAGGACCCGCCCCCGCGUCCCGCCGGACCCUCCGCCAGGGGUCACUUCCCCUGUCUAGGUUUCAGCUUCCACAUGUGUCAAGCGGCUGGCUCGGCCCAGAGUCCCUGUCUCCCGCCCGCCGGCCCGAGCCGCCGCCCCUCCCCCGCCUCCUGUGCGCCCGGGACAAUCCUCGCCUUGUCUGCGGCGCCGGCAUCUGGAGCUUUCUGUAGCCUCCGGAUACGCCUUUUUU